rnacentral:rRNA from 1 species
AGUGGCGAACGGGUGAGUAACACGUGGGCAAUCUGCCCUGCACUCUGGGACAAGCCCUGGAAACGGGGUCUAAUACCGGAUACUGAUCCGCCUGGGCAUCCAGGCGGUUCGAAAGCUCCGGCGGUGCAGGAUGAGCCCGCGGCCUAUCAGCUUGUUGGUGAGGUAGUGGCUCACCAAGGCGACGACGGGUAGCCGGCCUGAGAGGGCGACCGGCCACACUGGGACUGAGACACGGCCCAGACUCCUACGGGAGGCAGCAGUGGGGAAUAUUGCACAAUGGGCGAAAGCCUGAUGCAGCGACGCCGCGUGAGGGAUGACGGCCUUCGGGUUGUAAACCUCUUUCAGCAGGGAAGAAGCGAAAGUGACGGUACCUGCAGAAGAAGCGCCGGCUAACUACGUGCCAGCAGCCGCGGUAAUACGUAGGGCGCAAGCGUUGUCCGGAAUUAUUGGGCGUAAAGAGCUCGUAGGCGGCUUGUCACGUCGGUUGUGAAAGCCCGGGGCUUAACCCCGGGUCUGCAGUCGAUACGGGCAGGCUAGAGUUCGGUAGGGGAGAUCGGAAUUCCUGGUGUAGCGGUGAAAUGCGCAGAUAUCAGGAGGAACACCGGUGGCGAAGGCGGAUCUCUGGGCCGAUACUGACGCUGAGGAGCGAAAGCGUGGGGAGCGAACAGGAUUAGAUACCCUGGUAGUCCACGCCGUAAACGGUGGGCACUAGGUGUGGGCAACAUUCCACGUUGUCCGUGCCGCAGCUAACGCAUUAA